rnacentral:rRNA from 1 species
ACACCCACAAACGCCAGGGGAUUACGAGCAAACCUAAAACCCAAAGGACUUGACGGUGUCCCAUUCCCCCUAGAGGAGCCUGUUCUAUAAUCGAUAAACCCCGCUUUACCUUACCACUUCUCGUCCAUUCAGCCUGUAUACCUCCGUCGUAAGCUUGCCCUGUGAAUGUCUAUUAAGCAAGCCCAAGGACCUUACCACCAAUACGUCAGGUCAAGGUGCAGUCCAUGAAGUGGAAAGCAAUGGGCUACAAUUUCUAAGCUAGAACAAACGAAGUACUGCAUGAAACACAGUCAUGAAGGCGGAUUUAGUAGUAAAAAAGAACCAGUAAGUCUUUUUUAAUCCGGCCCUGGGACGUGUACACACCGCCCGUCACCCUCAA